GGGCCCGCACAAGUAGUGGAGCAUGUGGUUUAAUUCGAAGAUACGCGCAGAACCUUACCAACACUUGACAUGUUCGUCGCGACUUUAAGAGAUUAAAGUUUUCGGUUCGGCCGGACGAAACACAGGUGCUGCAUGGCUGUCGUCAGCUCGUGUCGUGAGAUGUUGGGUUAAGUCCCGCAACGAGCGCAACCCUCACUUUUAGUUGCCACCAUUUAGUUGGGCACUCUGAAAGAACUGCCAGUGAUAAGCUGGAGGAAGGUGGGGAUGACGUCAAGUCCUCAUGGCCCUUACGUGUUGGGCUACACACGUGCUACAAUGGCAUUUACAAUAGGAAGCAAGACGGCGACGUCAAGCAAAUCCUAAAAAAAUGCCUCAGUUCGGAUUGUACUCUGCAACUCGAGUACAUGAAGCUGGAAUUACUAGUAAUCG
rnacentral:rRNA from 1 species